ACGCUGGCGGCGUGCUUAACACAUGCAAGUCGAACGGAAAGGCCCUCACCUUGGUGGGGGUGCUCGAGUGGCGAACGGGUGAGUAACACGUGGGUGAUCUGCCCUGUACUUCGGGAUAAGCUUGGGAAACUGGGUCUAAUACCGGAUAGGACCAUGGUUUAGUGUCUCAUGGUGGAAAAAUUAUUGUUUUGGUGCAGGAUGAGCUCGCGGCCUAUCAGCUUGUUGGUGGGGUAAUGGCCUACCAAGGCGUCGACGGGUAGCCGGCCUGAGAGGGUGGACGGCCACAUUGGGACUGAGAUACGGCCCAGACUCCUACGGGAGGCAGCAGUGGGGAAUAUUGCACAAUGGGCGCAAGCCUGAUGCAGCGACGCCGCGUGGGGGAUGACGGCCUUCGGGUUGUAAACUCCUUUCGUUAGGGACGAAGCCACACUUUUUUUGGGUGUGGUGACGGUACCUUUGUUAAGAAGCACCGGCUAACUACGUGCCAGCAGCCGCGGUAAUACGUAGGGUGCGAGCGUUGUCCGGAAUUACUGGGCGUAAAGAGCUCGUAGGUGGUUUGUUGCGUCGUCUGUGAAAUUCCGGGGCUUAACUUCGGGGUGGCAGGCGAUACGGGCAUAACUAGAGUGCUGUAGGGGAGACUGGAAUUCCUGGUGUAGCGGUGGAAUGCGCAGAUAUCAGGAGGAACACCGAUGGCGAAGGCAGGUCUCUGGGCAGUAACUGACGCUGAGGAGCGAAAGCAUGGGGAGCGAACAGGAUUAGAUACCCUGGUAGUCCAUGCUGUAAACGGUGGGCGUUAGGUGUGGGGACCGGUUUGGUUUCUGUGCCGUAGCUAACGCAUUAAGCGCCCCGCCUGGGGAGUACGGCCGCAAGGCUAAAACUCAAAGGAAUUGACGGGGGCCCGCACAAGCGGCGGAGCAUGUGGAUUAAUUCGAUGCAACGCGAAGAACCUUACCUGGGUUUGACAUGCACCAGACGGUUGUAGAGAUACGUACCUCCCUUUGUGGUUGGUGUGCAGGUGGUGCAUGGUUGUCGUCAGCUCGUGUCGUGAGAUGUUGGGUUAAGUCCAGCAACGAGCGCAACCCUUGUCUUAUGUUGCCAGCACGUUUGGGUGGGGACUCAUGAGAGACUGCCGGGGUUAACUCGGAGGAAGGUGGGGAUGACGUCAAAUCAUCAUGCCCUUUAUGCCCAGGGCUUCACACAUGCUACAAUGGUUAGUACAACGCGCGGCGAGCCUGUGAGGGUGAGCGAAUCACUGAAAGCUAAUCUCAGUUCGGAUUGGGGUCUGCAACUCGACCCCAUGAAGUCGGAGUCGCUAGUAAUCGCAGAUCAGCAAUGCUGCGGUGAAUACGUUCCCGGGCCU
rnacentral:rRNA from 1 species